rnacentral:rRNA from 1 species
CCUACGGGAGGCAGCAGUGGGGAAUUUUGGACAAUGGACGCAAGUCUGAUCCAGCCAUGCCGCGUGCGGGAAGAAGGCCUUCGGGUUGUAAACCGCUUUUGUCAGGGAAGAAACGGCUUUCUCUAAUACAGAGAGCUAAUGACGGUACCUGAAGAAUAAGCACCGGCUAACUACGUGCCAGCAGCCGCGGUAAUACGUAGGGUGCAAGUGUUAAUCGGAAUUACUGGGCGUAAAGCGUGCGCAGGCGGUUAUGCAAGACAGAGGUGAAAUCCCCGGGCUCAACCUGGGAACUGCCUUUGUGACUGCAUAGCUAGAGUACGGUAGAGGGGGAUGGAAGUUCCGCGUGUAGCAGUGAAAUGCGUAGAUAUGCGGAGGAACACCGGAUGGCGAAGGCAAAUCCCCUGGACCCUGUACUGACGCUCAUGCACGAAAGCGUGGGGAGCGAAACAGGAUUAGAUACCCUGGUAGUCCACGCCCUAAACGACUAGUCAACUGGUUGUUGGGAGGGUUUCUUCUCAGUAACGAAGCUAACGCGUGAAGUUGACCGCCUGGGGAGUCGGCCGCAAGGUUGAAACUCAAAGGAAUUGACGGNNGAGAGAGCGAGACGACGACGAGGGAGGAGG